rfam:Picea glauca, whole genome shotgun sequence.
ACAUGCCUACAACAUAGCGUUAAAGCACUGGAUCCCAUUAGAACUCUACAGUUAAACACGCUUAGGCUGGAGUAGUACUGUGAUGGGUGACCGCCUUGGAAGUCCUAGUGUUUUACAUGCC